rnacentral:rRNA from 1 species
UAUGCCAAGCUAUAUCAUCCUGCAGCCCAAGACUGGUUACUCACUGAAGCUAAGCAGGGCUGAGCCUGGUCAGUAACUGGAUGGGAGACCACAUGAGAAAACUAGGAUGCUGUUGAAA